rnacentral:lncRNA from 1 species
UGGCAAGUUGGAUCCUCACAUAUUAACCAACCAUUAUAGUAUUUUUUUAGGUAGCGUCUAAUAUCCAAAAGUAAUUUGUUGUUCAUUUGAACCACAUGGUUGAAAGGAGGCUCUUCACAUUCACUUUUACUGCACCUUUGCAAGCUGGGCUCAAUAAAUCGCCCCGAACAGUCAAAGACAUUGUCAUAAAUAUUCUCUGUUCCACACUUGAGGCAGCAAAACUUGAAUCUUUCACAGUCCCUAUAUUUCUCCUCAUCAGUGAGCUGAGCUGGGCCACCAACCAAGGCAUCAUUCUCCUCAUCUUUAUGGUAAUGGUGAUGGACUCUGAAUUGGGAGGGAUCCAGUCCUAACCACGUUGCGAUAAGAACAGAAUCAAUUCCCUCUAUAGGUUCACAUAUUCUAGCAACUACUGGAUGUAUUUGCUGUGACAAGUAGUAUUGAGUAUCAAUAGUAAGAUUGUCUUGCUUUUGCAACUGUUCUGGAGCAUAUGCUCGCUGGCUGGCACUGAGAUUUGAUCCAUCCUGACAAAUGAUAUAUGACACUGUAUCUCCUGCCUUCACCUUUCGGCCUCCUUGAGAGUUUAUCCACAUGGCAACAUGCACAUGUGGCAGGCUUUUUUUGUCAGGAUAAUCCUGUGGAUCUUUUGUCAGUGCCUUAUUUAUUUCAAACUGAUUUACUGGGAUCUGGCCAUUGAUCACAUUUUCUCCAAUUUCUAUAAGCCGCCUUUGAAUAUUUUCCACAAUUAUGUCUCGGGGCUGAUCAGAAAGAAUCUGACCAAUUACAUAGUUUCCAGUUUCUUUUGCAAGAUCACACCAGUCUCUUCGGACUAUAUCCAACCCUUUCAGUUCUUGUUUAGUUACAUAUUUCCCAUCUCCUGUUGGUUCCACGGUAAGGGCAGCAUAUUUCUUCUUCUUUAACAGUAGCAAGGACUUGAAGACUCCAUCAAUAUCAAUCUCCAGCAAUUUAUACAACUUGUUCACUUCACUUUUGAUCUUGUUCCCCAGCUUGAAGACUUCAUCCAAAUUGGUGCUGUUAGUGUUUAUCAUAAUGGAAUCUGUG